UACGAAGGGGGCUAGCGUUGUUCGGAUUUACUGGGCGUAAAGCGCACGUAGGCGGAUCGUUAAGUCGGGGGUGAAAUCCUGGAGCUCAACUCCAGAACUGCCUUUGAUACUGAGGAUCUUGAGUUCGGGAGAGGUGAGCGGAAUUCCCAGUGUAGAGGUGAAAUUCGUAGAUAUUGGGAAGAACACCGGUGGCGAAGGCGGCUCACUGGCUCAUUACUGACGCUCAGGCGCGAUAGCGUGGGGAUCAAACAGG
rnacentral:rRNA from 1 species